rnacentral:rRNA from 1 species
GACGAACGCUGGCGGCGUGCCUAAUACAUGCAAGUCGAACGCAGUGGGGACGGGUGCGUAACACGUGGGUAACCUCCCAUCAGAGGGGAUAACACUUGGAAACAGGUGCUUAACUGAUACUGAUGGAUGGACCCGCGGGGCAUUAGCUAGUUGGUGAGGUAACGGCUCACCAAGGCUACGAUGCAUAGCGGGCCUGAGAGGGUGAUCGGCCACACUGGGACUGAGACACGGCCCAGACUCCUACGGGAGGCAGCGGUAGGGAAUCUUCGACAAUGGACGAAAGUCUGAUGGAGCCACGCCGCGUGAGUGAAGAAGGUUUUCGGAUCGUAAAGCUCUGUUGUUGGAGAAGCGGUAUCUAACCAGGAAGCAACGGCUAACUACGUGCCAGCAGCCGCGGUAAUAC